UCAUAAUUUUUCUAUAACCUUAUUAGAAGCAUCAUCCUCCCAAUUGGAUAAAAUAUUCAAUUCAAAUUUAGUCAACAAGGAAAAUAAAAUAAAAAGAGAAAUACACAUUCUUCCCAAACAGAAAAGUAUAGGUCUUUCUCGUGAAUUCUCUAGAGCAUUUUGGAAGAGCUUUUGAAACGUGAUAUUCACGUGUAAUACGUUAUACUCUUUUCUCAAAACAAUAAUAUUUUAAUUUAUUUUUUUGUUAAUUACCAGGUUUCAUAUCGUGGAUUUUGGCUCCCGGUUUUUGUUUGUCUGUUUUCUCCUCCAAGCGUUUUCAGGUGUAUUUUUUCAUGGGCAUAGAAGAAAUAGGGUGAAUUUACUAAUUUUCUCUCGAAUUAUCCGCAGCAAUUUUGUUUUCAGGUGUAUUUUUUCAUGGGCGUAGAAGAAUUUGGUGAAUUUACUAAUUUUCUCUCGAAUUCUGCGCAGCAUUUUACUUUCAGGUGUAUUUUUUCAUGAGCGUAGAAGAAAUUGGGUGAAUUUACUAAUUUUCUCUCUAAUUCUCCGCAGCAUUUUGGUGAAAUAGCGUAGAAGAAAUUGGAUCAAGUUAAUAAGUUUUCGCCUCCGCAGGAUUUUGGUGAGUUUGAUCUACCUGCGCUUCAUCAAUUUUUGAUCCCACGGAUAAAAGAAAAACAAGUAAAAAUUAUAUAUCUAAACUUUGAAUUCAUGAUGAUUUUUUUUGCUACAGUUUAAACCAAAUGUGUUAGUGUUAAUCAAAUUUUCAUUUAGGAGGUGAAAUUUCAGUUUUAUCGAGUAGGUGAUAUUUUACGUCUUCUCUCGAGUUCUCCGCGGCAUUUUGGUAAGUUUGAGCUUGCUCUAAUACAUUCAUUUUCUAAAACAUGUUGAAGGACUCAACUGAGUUUUCUUCUAAAUCAGUCCCAUUUUUCCAAAAUAUCACACUACUAAAUGGUAAAGAAGACAAUCACCCAAGCAAGUUUAGCAAAAGUUGCAUGCGAGACAAAGGUUACCUUGGAAAUGCAGGUUGCACCUACAAGGGUGUCCUCCGUCAUACAUCGGCAAAUUGGGAGGCUGAAAUCCAUGAGCCUAACUAUAGCCCUCGCCUUUGGCAUGGUACGAUGUUGCAUACAAACAUUGUGGUGAUACGGUCCAACUCAAUUUUCCCGAUCACGUGCACACAAAAAAUUGGAAAAAGAAGAAAAGCUAAGGUAAAACAUUGUCCACUUUUGGCAAUGUUUCCAUGAGAUCAAAAAAAGUUGCAUGCUUAAAUUCCGUGUUAAUUGUGAUACAAGGAAGAUAAUUGAUUGCUUUUGACAAGUAGGAGAAAUCAAAUUCCUCCAUUUUUUACCUUUUUAACUAAAAGUACAGCACCUAAAACAUGCUAAACAACUCAACGGAGUUCUAUUCCAAUUUCCAGAUCAAUUCCAUUUGCUCAAAAAUGUUACACUACUAUACUGAAAAGAAGAGAAUCAUCCGAGCAAGUUUAAGAAAAGGUUACAUAUGAGGGGACAACGCAAUACAUCUCAAAAUACUUGUUGCGUUGUAUUUGUAGUUCAGAGGAUAGAAAAUGGAGGAAUUUGAUUAUUCCUAUGUGUCUGUAUACAUGUGAACUUAGAAUAUUUACCUAUACUUGUCAAGACAAUCAAACAUCUUGCUUGUAGCAGAAAGUUACGCAUGCAUAUUCUUUGGUCUCAUGCAAAGAUCAUCGAGAGGGGACAACGCAAUACAUCUCAGAAUACUUCUUUUUUGAAUUUUUUUCCUUUUCAAACUUUUCCAAUUUUAACACUGCUGAACAAAAUUAUUACUUUUUUUUGUCUUCUUUCAAGGUGAAUGAAUUUGAAUGUUUAUAUAAAAAAAAAUUAAGCAGA